AAAAUGAGAAUAAGGCUUUUCCUCAUGCUGUUUUAAUUGCUAAAUAACUCAAGUGUUCUUCAAGCAACAGACAUUCUCCAUAAAGAAACAUUUCUUGACUCCAAGGAACAGAUUAGCACCCACAAAUACAUUUUGCUCUAAAGGUUUGUUUCCAUAGAGAAGAAAAAAGCUACUCCCUCUGGGGUUGAGGGGGAGGGGAUAACUUAAUAAAACCAUCAUUUAUAUUUAGAAUGAACAUUUAUCCCACAGGCAAACCGGAGGAUAGAGGUCAUCUAAGGAUGUGCUCAAGAUAGAAGCCACUCUAUUGCCAAGUUCCAGGGGUUCACUCUCAAUGGCUGGGGAUAAGACAGGACGAGUCAUUGAGUGUCAUUCUGAAAUUGACCCAGAGCUAAAUGGGCUAGUCCCUAUCUUGCUUGUCCUUUUGUUAUAACUUGGAUCCACAGUAAUAAAACCUGUAGCUAAUAUUUACCCGUCUCAUGGAAACACCGCCCUAGAUCCUUUACUUGAUAACCUGGUUCAUGGCUGCAGGAGUCCUGUGAUGCAGGUCGACUGCACUCAGCAAGAUGGUCUGGGAUUCUCGCUGGGGGUUUCCCGUGCAGUUGUAGUCAGGCAGUGGCUGUGGCUGGAGUUGUCUUUUUUCCUGUCACGUUUCCUCACUCAUGUGUCUGCUGGCUAGGAGCCAAGAUGGGGCUGUCACCAAGACCUCUCCACGUGGCCUGGACUUUCCCUAUUGCGUCCCAGCUGGGCUCUGAAAGCAAGCAUCCCUACAGAACAGUGCUGCUGCAACAAAUUACCACAAGCUUGGUUGCUUAAAGCAAGAGAAUUCAUGCUCAGAGUUGGGAAAGCCAGAAGUCUCCAAUCCAAUUGUCAGCAGGACUGGUUUCCUCCAGAAUGUCUGAGGAAGAAUCCCUUCCCUGCCUCCCUCUGAUCUUCUGGUGCUUGCCAACAAUCCUUGGCUUUCCAUGGUUUGUACACUCACUUCUUCAAUCUCCACCCCCAUCUUUUUGUAAAGAAAUACUUUCCUAUGUUUCCUCUUCCCUGUCAUUUUUCUCUUCUUAAAAGAAUACUUGU